rnacentral:rRNA from 1 species
UACGUAGGGUGCGAGCGUUAAUCGGAAUUACUGGGCGUAAAGCGUGCGCAGGCGGCGCGUUAAGACAGGUGUGAAAUCCCCGGGCUCAACCUGGGAACUGCAUUUGUGACUGCAUGGCUAGAGUGCGGCAGAGGGGGAUGGAAUUCCGCGUGUAGCAGUGAAAUGCGUAGAUAUGCGGAGGAACACCGAUGGCGAAGGCAAUCCCCUGGGCCUGCACUGACGCUCAUGCACGAAAGCCGUGGGGAGCAAACAGG